ACACUCAGGGUGAGAGGGAGAUUCUGAAGCUUUGUGUUUCUUGCUAGCUAGUCAAAGGUGACUAAUUCAUGUGGAUAGAAAAAUAAUACAUGCCAAAAGAAAUUUGAGGAACAAAUUCAGCCCUGAGACAGGUCACGGAAACAGCCCUCCAGUCUUCCUCAAGAAAUGUAGACUGAAUCAGCAUUUACCCACCCCUGGAAAAACGCAGGAGCUGCGCAUUCCUGGGAUCUCAGCAGGGCUUUUGGGAAGAGCAGAACUGGGCUGGAGUCACGGUUUCUGGGCUGACUCUAGAUUUUCCCCGGCUUUUGCCACCUGUGAUGGCUGGAGAGUAUCUGAAGAUGACAGCCAGUGUCCUUAGCUUGUGAAGAUUGGAUGAUGGCCGGGGCCCUCAGACCCCUUGGCCCCUCCUUAACUGCAGGUCUUCAAAAGCCCAACACCUGUUCGUCAUUUCUGUGGCUUCCCAGGGAGUCUUACUCUUCUGCUUCAAGCUGCUGGGUUUGACUCUGAGCAGUUUCUGUGCAGCCACAAAGAUUCUUAUGUGAGACACACUGCUGCUUCAGAGUGCUCCAACCCAUCUCCCCUGAUUAAACACUAACCAGGGCUGCCACAGCAAAGUGGCUCAAAUGGGUGACGUCAACAACAGAUUUACUUUCUCAUAGUUCUGGAGGCAGGUGUCUAGGAUCAAGGUGGUGGCAAGGCUAUUCCUUCUGUUGCCUCCCUCCUUGCCUUGUGGAUGACCGUCUUCUCCGCGUCUUUCCAAGAUCUCUCCUCUGUGCAUGUCAGUGUCCUUGCUUCCUCUUCUUAUGAAGACACCGGUCAUGUUGGAGCUCAUGGUUGCAAUGUGCCCGCUUAUCGGAGUCUUCCUGGCCUUGAAUGUCCUCUUCUCAGCAUCCAGGAAUGUCCAGACAUUCAUCCAACAACCAGUCUGGGCUAAUGAGUCAGGCAUGGUGCCUGGUGUGUAGUUAGCACUCAACACAUAGACCUUAAUUGAGUUAACAAAUAGGAGAUGAUGAUGGGAGCUAUUGCUAGGUAACAUGCACAUAUUUAUCAUGCAUUUGCUUAUUCAUCAAUUUAAAGGAAAGUUUGUUUUCUUUC
rnacentral:lncRNA from 1 species